AUUGAACGCUGGCGGCAGGCCUAACACAUGCAAGUCGGACGGUAGCACAGAGGAGCUUGCUCCUUGGGUGACGAGUGGCGGACGGGUGAGUAAUGUCUGGGGAUCUGCCCGAUAGAGGGGGAUAACCACUGGAAACGGUGGCUAAUACCGCAUAACGUCGCAAGACAAAAGAGGGGGACCUUCGGGCCUCUCACUAUCGGAUGAACCCAGAUGGGAUUAGCUAGUAGGCGGGGUAAUGGCCCACCUAGGCGACGAUCCCUAGCUGGUCUGAGAGGAUGACCAGCCACACUGGAACUGAGACACGGUCCAGACUCCUACGGGAGGCAGCAGUGGGGAAUAUUGCACAAUGGGCGCAAGCCUGAUGCAGCCAUGCCGCGUGUAUGAAGAAGGCCUUCGGGUUGUAAAGUACUUUCGGCGGGGAGGAAGGCGGUGAGGUUAAUAACCUCGCCGAUUGACGUUACCCGCAGAAGAAGCACCGGCUAACUCCGUGCCAGCCGCCGCAGUAA
rnacentral:rRNA from 1 species